CUACCGGGGUAUCUAAUCCCGUUCGCUCCCCUAGCUUUCGCGUCUCAGCGUCAGUAGACGUCCAGGACCUCGCUUUCGCCACGGGCGUUCCUUCCGAUCUCAACGCAUUUCACCGCUCCACCGGAAGUUCCAGGUCCCCCUACGUCCCUCCAGACGGGGCGUUUCGGCGCCCGUUCCCCGGUUGAGCCGGGGGCUUUCAGCGACCGACGUCCCCAUCCGCCUACACGCGCUUUAAGCCCAGUGAUUCCGAAUAACGUUCGCACGGUUCGUCUUACCGCGGCUGCUGGCAC
rnacentral:rRNA from 1 species